rnacentral:lncRNA from 1 species
GUCCAGCGAACCCUAGUAUUGAAAACCCGAGGGGAACCACGGGUUUAGAACGACAUCCCCUCCGCCUCCUUUCUCCUUCGAUCAUCUAUGCCUCCGCUUCCACUCUCCUUCGAUCAUCUACGCCCAUGCCUCCGCCUCCCCUUCUUUAAUCAUCUAUGCCUCUUCCUCCUCCUUAGCUCUUCUCCUCAUCUCUUCAUCUCUUCUUCUUUGUCAACAUAAGCUGUGAGCAAUACCCAUUUUUCUCCAAUAAUUUUCUUCUCGGUUUGUGGAUUCGUGAAAUUGGGUUACUUCUUUUUUGCUAUCUUUGUCAUUGAAUGAAGUGGAUGGGGAUUUGCAACUUCUUAACCUCUUUUUUUUGUUCAAUUUGUUCAAAACUAUCCUUGUUAUGAAGAUGGGUUUUUUGUUUGAAUGUUAAUGAUCGGUUGAGUUUGUAAUAUGUGAAAUAUAACACCUUGUUAUUAAAUUACCAUUAUUUCUUAUGUUUCCCCUUUUUCAAUUUGCCAAAAUCAUUUAUUUGCUUAGGGAAUUUAAAAGCAGGAAAACAUCUAUGUGAAAAUGCUAUGAAAUAAUUGGAAACAUCUUUUUAGAUUAAUCUUUUUGGUUCCCAUUCACACACCACCACAGGAACAGAAUCUCAUAUUAAUAUUUUUGGUUCCCAAAUGUUCUCUCUCUCUCUCUCUCUCUCUCUCUCUCUCUCUAUUUAUAGAUAGAUUGUUGCUUUCUCAAUUAGAACUUCAGUAUUAGAUAUCUCUCUUUUACUUUGUAGAUAGAUAUUAGACUCAAAUUUACAUUGAAUUUGACUAUUUGAUGCUUCGUCUGAAUUUAUUUGUUUACUUUGAAGUUCUUAAAGAAAAUCAUAAAACCCAUAAACAAAAAGCUAUCUAGAGUUUAAAUAAUGAUAAAAUAUGCAUGUAUUCUAUAUAAGGUUUCCUGCCCUUUUUUCUUUCCAAAAAUGAUUUAGUGAUUUGUACGUUGGUCUUCUUUCUCAGGACCAUGGUUUCGACUAUCAGCUAUUUCAUACCUAGAAGUAUUGGAUCCUGAGCAAGCAGGUAAACCAAUACUAUUAGUUGGAUAUGUUGUAUGUUUUCGCUUCAAAAUUCCAGAUUAAAGUUGAUUUUAAUGGAAGAUUAGUUUGUCGUCCUACAAAAAGAGGUUAUGCUUCUUGCUUUGGAAUUUCAAAUGAACUAUGUGAUGAUGAUAUAAAGGAGAUUUUGGAUUUGCUUACUGUAUUUGAAUAAGGUGAGUUCUUGAUACAGACAUUAUAAGGAAAGUGUAGCAUUUACAGAUACAUUAUUGUUUAUGAUCUCUUCAUAAGUGAUGGUACCAUAAAAUUAACUUUUAAUCCUCCACAAAGAUAAUGAAGCUACCUAGAAAGAUGAACAUAGAGCACUAUUGGCUUUUUAAAGGUCGUUUAUAUGUCCCUUUAUUUGUUAAAUAAUGAAUACGAAUUUUUCUUUGCUGGAAUUGCUCAUUUUUAACUAUGGACAACCUAAUGAGCUUCUUCAACCAUUUGGAAUGCAUAACUUAUGCUGCCAGUAUUCUACACAAUUACAUUGUUAUAGGGAGCUAACAGAUUACUAACCCAUUAGUGUUGCUGUCUAAAAUGGUUUUAGCCAUUUGAUUUUGAAAGAAAGUUAUUAUUUAGGAAAUGCAUUGUAUUUGAUUUGUAGAAUGUGAAAGUAGUGUUCUGUUGGGCUCCAUUAUUUUUAUCAUAAUGAGGGCGAGAACUCUCCACGGGCCGUGGGCUUGACUUUGCCAACCACGUAAAUCUAUGAGUUCUUAUGGUUACGCAUUUUCAUCUUGGCUUUUAUUGUUUUUAUCUUUCCUUUGUUAUUUAUUAUUUGCCGGUAUGAGGGGACUAGUUCCAACAAUGUUCUAUACUCAGUAAUUAAUUUAAAUGCUACGUGCUCUUGUUCUUUUAGGCAGUGGUUUUUUUUUUUAUUGUUUUGCUACAUCUAAUUUAGUUAAGCAACCCAUCUUAUGUUCAUAUCCCUGGUUUCUGCAGAUUUUUGCUUUCUCAAUUAGAACUUCAGUAUUAGACUUUUACUUUCAAUGCUCUAGGUUUCUGCAGAUUUUGAUUAAGAUGAAUAAUGCCCUUUUAUUUCCAUUUGCAUGUUGUUUCAUAUAAUCUGAUAAUUAGUUUAUGUUUGAGUAUAAAAAAGAAAGUCACAUAUUAUGAUUUUGUUCUUGCCAAUAUUGUUAAUGGCAGGAUAGACAUGGAUCGAAAGAGAAAGAGGAAGAUUGUGACAACUCUAGUUACAAUAGAGUUAGAGAAACAACGUUUGUGUUCAUCCAUGAUGUUAGUAACUAUCAUAUAUGCUUUGACAACAUGGUACUAUAAAAAGUACUACCUUAAGAACCGGACCUUUAUUAGGCAUGAGACUUGUUUGAGUGUUCUAGAUAGAUUUAUAGGACAUAGUGAUAUAACGUGUGUGAAUGAACUUGGAAUGGAUAGAAAAACAUUUGCCAUGUUGUGUGAAUUACUUCGUACUCAUGGAAGGUUGAAGAUGUAUGGUUCGGUGGCCAUUGAAGAGCAAGUUUGUAUGUUUUUAUAUAUUCUUGCCCAUCACGUAAAAAAUCAUAUGGUUCAUGAUACAUUCGGUCGAUUUGGUGAGACAGUGACUAGGUACUUCAAUUCAGUUCUAAAUGUUGUCCUGAGGCUACAUGAGAUUUUAUUAAGAGUGCUAGAUCCUUGCCACUAAUGUAUUAGGAGUUUGUUCCUAAGAUAUAAGGUUCAUAUUUGUCUUUCAGCAUUGGGAGGGUUCAUCAUCAAACUCUAGAGUACUUCGAGAUGUGAUAUCUAGGCCACAUGGGUUAAAGGUUCCGAUGGGUAAGAUUAAUGUAGAUACCAUAUAGUGUAGGCAUAAAUCAUCCUAAAUUUGAAUUUUAUUUUAAUUAGCUCCUAUUUAUUGUUUAGGUUAUAAUGACCUUGUGGAUGCUGUUUACACAAAUUGUGAGGGAUUUCUUGCACCCUACAGAGGAACGAGAUAUCACUUAUCGGAAUGGAGAGAAGGAUGUGCACCCUUGAACCAUCGAGAAUACUUUAACAUGAAGCAUGCAUCAACAAGAAACGUGGUGGAAUGUUGUUUUGGACUUCUUAAGAUGCAUUGGGCAAUCUUAAGGAGUCCAUUGUUCUAUCCAAUACAAACAUAAGGACGAAUAAUAAUGGGUUGUUGUAUUUUACACAACUUAAUUAGGAGAGAG